AUAGAGGUAGCUGAAAAUCUAUAAAAGAGUAAGCA
ncrna:unclassified sequences DTF805b RNA